rnacentral:rRNA from 1 species
GAGGGAAUUUUGGACAAUGGGGGCAACCCUGAUCCAGCAAUGCCGCGUGUGUGAAGAAGGCCUUCGGGUUGUAAAGCACUUUUGUCCGGAAAGAAAUGGCCUGGGCUAAUACCCCGGGUCGAUGACGGUACCGGAAGAAUAAGCACCGGCUAACUACGUGCCAGCAGCCGCGGUAAUACGUAGGGUGCGAGCGUUAAUCGGAAUUACUGGGCGUAAAGCGUGCGCAGGCGGUUUGAUAAGACAGGCGUGAAAUCCCCGGGCUCAACCUGGGAAUGGCGCUUGUGACUGUCAGGCUAGAGUGCGUCAGAGGGGGGUAGAAUUCCACGUGUAGCAGUGAAAUGCGUAGAGAUGUGGAGGAAUACCGAUGGCGAAGGCAGCCCCCUGGGACGUGACUGACGCUCAUGCACGAAAGCGUGGGGAGCAAACAGGAUUAGAUACCCUGGUAGUCCACGCCCUAAACGAUGUCAACUAGUUGUUGGGGAUUCAUUUCUUCAGUAACGUAGCUAACGCGUGAAGUUGACCGCCUGGGGAGUACGGUCGCAAGAUUA